CGGGAUAAAUUUUUUCCGCUGAUGUGGACGCCCUAUGGAGCCUCAAAAGCUCCCUUUUAUUAGUAGAGAUUUAAUUUAAUUUAAUUUUUCUUUUCCGGGUUUUCUUCUUUGGCUUUUCAGUUUCAGUUACGAAACGGCUCCUUCUGCCUUCCACACUACCACACUACAUGUCGUUUUUACAUUCCGUCGCAAACGUCCUGCUGUUUUGCCUUUGUUGGAAGAAACGUAUGAUCAAUUAUUAUUAACUUUUUUUUUUCUUUUUCAUUUGAUCAAUACGUUUUUGUUGUGUGAUCAAUUAUUGUUGUAUAUAAUCUCAAUAACAAUAAUUGAUCACACAACAAAAACGUAUGAUCAAUUAUUGUUAAGAGCGAAUCUGGAACGUUUGAUUAAAGACCACGGUUCUUGUCCAUGUUGUAGGUUAGUAGUAAUAAAUAAAUGUAGUAGUUUAGAUCUAAUUAUCUCAUCUCUUUACUACUCACUCAAUACUCUCAAUACUAGCUUCUUUAGUUACCACCAUAAUAUUAAGGCGCGUGAAUCCAAAAGCUGGUUUUUAAUGCAUGAUCCCGUUACGGCUCCCGUUAAGAUAUGACGGAGACGUUACUUUCUCAUAGCUUGUGUCUGGAACGUGGCAGGCAAACGUGUUGGCUCGUGAACGUAGCGGCAGAGAGAUUUUGCCAUUCCAUCGAACGUUAUAGUCAAAGGGCAGGCGUUGCAAAUUUCUUCAUGGAAUAGCUUAAACAUACUUCGUCAGGUUGAUUGUUAGCGACAUAGUUGCACCAUGUCAAGUGCGGUUAUGGCGGUUGUCUUUGUACACUGUACAAGCCUAGCAACUACUACGUCAACCAAUGUAUAUGUCAGUCGGUCUAUGUAAGAUAUUUGAUGUUAGUACUGAUUUUAACAAAUAUACAUUUAUUAGUGUUGCAUUAUUAAAUGUCGUGAUCCCGAUAAGUAUUACAUUUUACUCAAGUUGUAAAUACUUCAACGCAUGCAGAAAGCUACUUUUUACAGAUAAUAAAUAAUAUAAUAUAAAGAGAAAACGAACAAUAAAAGUUGAGGACCGUUUGCCUCAAAUUGUUGGUUAGGAAUAUGAUUAUUCAAAGUGGUUGGCAACGCACGGAUGGGAAUAUUAAGAUUAUAAUAUAUGUUUUAUAUGUAUAAUUGCUUGAUUGGUGGUGCAAUGGAAAUACUUUCACUAUAUUUAACUAUUAUUUGUGUUAUGAUAUUAUUUUUAAUAGUCUAUUUAAUUUGUUGAGAAUUAUAGUUAAUUAUUCGUUUAGUCAUAAUCGCCACAACAAUAACUAAGAAUUACGAAUAUUCGGUUUGUAGAUAUGUAUGUCUCAAGUCUCAACUAAAGAUCGUCCUCGAAUUGUUUUUUUUUUUUUGAUAAAGCGAAGUUAUGGGGAAAUGACAUCAUGACCUCAUUUUUUAAUUGAAUUUCCAUGAAUGAAAAUGAAAUUAUACGAUAACUAAAUAUAAAUUAAUUGGCUUUUUAGUAUUUGGUGUUUAAAAUAAAUAUAACAACAGUAAAAGAGAAGAGAAUCAAGUGGUUGGCUUAGGGUAACAACACAU